GCCGACAUGGCUCAGUGGCAGAGCAUCUCCAUGGUAAGGAGAGGGUCGCGAGUUCGAUUCUCGCUGUCGGCUCCA
rnacentral:tRNA from 1 species